GAGAUUCAUCUGGUCCCAGGGGUGGACACAAGGAGCAUCUCCUUUCUCAUGGGUCAGACCUAGGAACAGAAAUCGCGUUAGCACAGAGAUUUCAGCUCAGAGCCUGGAGCGCCGGGGUCCAGAUCACUGCUGCUCCGGCACGCAGGGGGGUCCAGCGACAGAGAGGGAUGGUGCUGAAAUGAUUGAAACUGUUAAGCCUGGCAUCGCGGAGGCAGCUGCAUAAUGAGGUGGGGUCUACAGGUGCUGGCUGGAUCAGAAAGGCUUUUGGCACACCAAAAAAAGAAAAACAAAUGGUGUCUGUUGAAGGUAUGAGCCUUGGUCCCCAUAGCAACCGGGAGAAAUGGAAAUGAGCAAGGAAGGAAAGCAGAUUCCCCCACCCUUGUUCUCUCCCUGUUAUUCUAAUGGGGGGAAAUAAGCAAACACAGACCAAUGUCAGCCCAAGUGGGCGAGUUCAUAGGCUCAGCACAUUGGGACUCUCUCUAAAGAAAAAAUAUGGUGGAGCUCAAAGGCUUUGGGUGUUGCUCCACGCACCCCUGUACUCUUAGAAGGCAGUGUAGGACCGAUGAUUGACAGCGGGGGACCCAAGGGCCUCUCUCCAGUGAGCAUGCUCAGUAGCACUGCAAGCUCCCCCCUCCCAGCCGGCUUUCCCCAGCCCCCAGCCUAGCUCUGGAGGGCUCUCCCCGAAGGGCUGGUCAGCCUGCGUGCCCAUUCUGUCCUUGGCCUCUCUGCUGAGACGGCUGAAAAGUGGCCACUGAACGCAGCUUGCUGCAGUGAGGCCAGAUGCCCUGUAUCAUUUCACUCUGAGCCCAGAGCAGCCUUCCAGACUGCUACCAAAGAGCCUCCGGCAACGGCUGCUGUCACCGUUCUGGCUGGGCCACGUCCCAGGUUGCCGGGAGUUCUGUGAUCAAAGACCCCCAAGGCUUCAUGGUGAAAUGGGAAACUGCUGGCUUCAUGGCUCCUGUCCGCCCUGCAUAGGGAUAAACAUAGCACUCGUCGGGCCUGGCCCUAGCGGGAAUUCGCUACAGCUCCUAGCACCCUGUAGGCCCCAACCAGAUAAUAAAUGGGAACAAUCCUUGCUCUCUACGCUCCACUCACUUUCCUAUCUCCUGUCCUCACUCAUCUCAGUGUCUUAUGUGCCUUCCUCUGUCAUGCCUAUUAACACCCUGGCUUCUCGUCUCACUCCUUGACAUGUUUAAUGUGUGCAUGUGGUGGAACACACAGGCCCAUGCUAGAGAACCGCACCAUGAUUAUUAGUAUGACAUUAGCAUCUAGGACCCCAUUGUGCUAGGUGCAGUACAAAUACAGAACUCAAAAGCAGCUCCUGACCCAAGGGCUUUGCAACCUGCGUCUAAUACAAGAGAUGCCAUCUGGAUACAGGCAGAUGGGGAGUGCAAAGAAACAAUGACACGAGAAAGGAAAGAUGGUGGAACUAACAUGAUAUUUGCCAGCUCUCCCCCGAUUGCUCUGCUUGUGCGUUGCACCCAUUCUCCCCUUCCUUUGUCCAGCCCUGUCCUGGCUAAACUAUCCAGGGCAGAGCCAUCUCUUAGUGUGCUGGUGUUCCAGGUGUUAGAAGCGUAAUUGUAGCAGCCAGGGAGGAAUCUUCAGGGCAUUCCAGGCUGUGAGGUGAAAGGCUGAAUUGGGGAGCGCCAUACCAAAUUGCAACCGGCUGAUCCCCUGGGGCCUGAAUUCCCACGGAUUGCUCCCAUUUGACACUGAUAUCCCUCCACCCCAGGGUGCAGGUCACAGUUUACACUGGCACAAUGAGUGGUUUGCAUCAGCUCAGUUACACUGGUGCUUGGACCCCCAAUGUAGACAAGGCCUCAAGCCCUUAGACUGAGGGUGCCAGUGUAACCAACUAGUCUGUUGUGUUCCCGGCCUGAUCUACAGGGGGUGCAAGUCUGGGACAUGCCCGGGACAAUCUCUGGCUAUUAAGGCAAUCUCUGGCUAUUAGGAAUUAGCAGAAAACCUAAGGUGGAUCUGCCCAAUGCCAGGUGGCUCCUACCUUCCAGUGAAUCAUCUGCUGGUGGUUCCUGCCCGAGACAAGAUACGGGCGAGCUGGACUGCAGGUCCGUUGGUAUGGCAACGCCCACGUUUUCCAUGUCAUGCCAGCAUGCUCGGGGCAGAUCAGGAUUGUAUCUGAGCACUCGCCACUUUGUCCCCUCUUUCUAAACCUUGGAAUCUGGGAGGGGGACACACAGUGCAAACAAGGCCUUUCCCAGCCCUGCUGGGUGUAUAUCUCCACCGCACUCUCAGGCACAUGCCAUCAGAGAGCCGUACCCCAUUCCAAAUGCUAUCAGUCGCUCUGCAGCCCCCGUCCCUUUAAUCAGCAGCUACCACAGCCUCAAUUAUUGUUGAUUUGAGUAGGAUGCACUGGGACUUAUUCAGUAGGGUGUUUUUUUAAAGUUCUAACAUUUUGGAAUCCGGACUCCUCAAUCUUUUGAUCACCUCGGGCUGCUUGCCAAUGCUCUUGUUAAUCUGCCCCCCUGCCCCACGAGCGCUGCUUGAUAGUGGGAAGCUUUCAUAAACACAGUGUUUAAAAGCCAUAAAAACAUCACAAUCCCAGGGAAGUGAAACUGACACUUUGGAGCUUAAAACCUAAUAAAGUGCCACUCCCGCUGCCGUGGGCGGAGGAAGCAUUGAUGAAGAUGGGCCCUGGUGUUUGGGAAAAGACUCUCUUGUGGCCAGAGGACCCCAUUAUACCCAGAUGUACUGUAGUCCAGCAGCCUGGGGAGGCUGUGCAGUCAAUGGAGCGAUGCUGAUUUGCACUCGGUGAGAAUCCAGCCCUGUGUCUGCGAACUCCAUGGGAUUGGCUGCCCUGCUGCCAUGACCCCAAAUCUUGAGGAAGUCGGUCGCAGUCCCGGGAAUGCAGGUUCUGGGUUGGAGUUAGUAAAGUGAGUUGGGGCCCUUCUCUGAUGAAAGUCUCGCUCGAAUUGCAAAGCAUGAUUAGAGUUGCAUGUGUAGGGUAACACCCGUCAUUUUACUCCCAGUCCAUUCAGUCCAGUUUUACUCUUCUGUCCAUUUCAGUGUCAAAAGGUAAAAGAAGUCCUGCUCAGGUUUGGGAAGCUAGAAUAUUCACCCGGCUUUUAUCUUGAUCCCAUAAGCCGCAAAGCACCUCAGCAGCUGGUCCCAUUUAAAUGGAGAUCUGACCUUGUGCCAAGGAGAGCAGGUACCCCAGGAGGCUCUCUCAAUGUUUCCUCAGUAGCCACAUCUGGACAUAAAUAAGUUUGAAUUUGGCUUCCACCUCGGAUGUGGUAAUUUCUAUUUCCAUUAGCCACUGCCCCACUGUCCCCAAGCUGCUCAUUACCCUUACUAAAGCCCAAGGCAAAGUAUCCAUUUAGGUGUUGGGCCAUGCCUAGGUUAUCUUUAGUCUCCAUCCCCUCUCAGUGUUUAGGGAUCCCACUUCUUUCCUUGUUUUCUUUUUAUUUAUAUGGCUAAAGAACCGUUUACUGUUGGAUUUACUUUCCAUUGCAGGGUCCAACUCUGCUUGGCUUUUGGCAGUUCUCACUUUAUCCCUACACUUUCUGACCUCCAAGAGGCAGCUUUCCUUGCUGAUCCAGCCCUUUUUCCGUUCUUGUAGGCUUUCAGCUUUCUGCUUUUGCUUAAUAACCUGUUGGUGAUACUUACUCAUCCAGCUUGGCCUGCCACACUUCCCUAUGAGUUUUCCCCCUUGCUUGGGAUGCAGACAAGUUCCUGCAACUUUGAGAUAAAGUAAAUCCAAGCCUUCACGUUCUGUCCACAGCAAGAUGUUUUACCCCGGGAUUUGAAGCAAACACCGCAGAGAUAUAGGCAGUUACGCAGCAGAGCAGAGGGACACACCUGUGUUCAGACACACGUGUCAAGCCUGUAAACCAAAGAGAUUGCGAACGCCUGCUUUGAUGUUUGGAAGCGACUCUGAUGGAGCGUUGUUAUUAUCACCUGUUCCUUCCUAGCAAACUUGUUUCGUGCAUCUUCUCACCAUGCUGUUUGUGUCUCUCUCUGUGAGGCUCUUCAGCUGUGAAGUGGCUGGCAGCCUGUGGCAGGUGGAGUUCUGCUGCUGUCUGCUCUGUCCCAUGCUGCAGCUUUUACCAUGCUCUCGCUGAUAGGCUAAAAACACAGUUUGCAUCUGUACCGUUCCUGGCUAACGAUCCGCUCAACCACGUGAGCCUUCACCAUGUUCUACGCGGUGCUGACUGCUUAGCCCUGCACCUCGCUUGGUUCCUGAAACCAGUUAGGCCCACAUGGCAUUUUGCUGUGUGGACAAGCAUCCUAGCCAUGUUGAAGACUGAGGGAAUGCUUUCCUCAAACAGAGAUUUUGUUUUCCUCGGAGGAUGGCCUGCUGUGGAAAUGCUGGAAGAUGCUAAGUGCUAGUCCCCUGGUUGCAAAUGAGUUACAGAUUUUUACUCUGCACUACAUUUAUAGUCAUUCUGGUGAAAUGGAGGUUGUCCAACGAGUUCAUAAGCAGCCAGCAUCGCUGCGUAAUUCCCACCUUGCUGCAUACUUCAGCACAGCUGCGCUGCUUACAUCAGGGAUUGGGGCCUCAUAUAGCUGUAACAUGACACCAGCCGCAGCCUGGUUACCGAUAGCUAUGAAAAGCGGAAGGAUUCUUGGUCCCGGUCAGGUCUAGUGUUCCUUCUCCGUGUGUUUCACUCAGGAAUGAAGCCAUUGAGUGUGUCACUCCAUGUUGUGCAUUGCUGAGGUUGGGGCAAAGAUAGGAAAGGAAGUGGACAGGUUAUGGACGGAGGCCGUGGUUUGGUUUAGUGUUGGGAAAAUCAGCUAGUGGUCCAAGAGGGUCCAUCGUGACCACCUGGCUCACGCUCUGUUCUGGGGAAAUGGGACUUCCUUGAGACCCGCUCGGCCAGUUUGGAGAUUAAGGAAGGUGGGGCCAUACAGAAACCCAGGAACUGGCUAAACUGGGAAUUCCUUGAAUGUCAGGAAUAAAUGAUGGCCUAGUCCUGUAUUUCCUUUGUUGCAUUGAAAAGGUUUUUGCUGGCACUGGAUGUCUGUGGUAAAGGCCAGGCCUGCUUUCUACAGUCCCAGAACAAUAAACUCCUAAUAAAUGGACUUGCUGCAUUUCUGUGCUUGUGCAGUUAUUGCAGCUAGUCUCCAGCCAUUGCAGAGCUGACAGCUGCCAAAGAUUUGCAUGGGGCAUGAAAUUAAGUGAAUUCAUUUUAAUGGCUAAUCUGCAGAAAGCUCAAGUUUGGUUUCUAAAAGCCUCGUUUGGCUCAGCGUUGCCGGCACAUCUGCUUCUCGCCUUAGCCUCUCAUUUCUAAAAGUUGAUUUUCCCCGUUUUUCUCUGCCGUGAGCAUCAGUGCAGGAGAUCUUUGCCGUGUCUCCAAAGUGGGUUAACACCAGCACUUGGGAGUCUGUGGCGUUUGUAGGAAGAGCUUUGCCCACAGGACGUUGUCGGCUGGUUCUCAGCGCUUGCCUCUUUGUAGUGGGCCUGUCGGAGUAGCGUUCUGCCAUGAAACCCUCGUUAGGCCUUGUCAGGACGGCACGUUUGGCAUUGCAUGCUGGGAUUAUACGACUCCAGCAGCAAACCGGCUCCUUUUAGAGAACUCCUCUUUGAUCAGCUUCCCUCAAGAGUGCGCCAGGUAUUUCUAAGCCUGCCUUUGCCCUCAAAGGAGAACGCUGGCUCCAGAACUGGGUGAUGUUAUUUUGAUUUACUUCCUCCUCCUGUUUGCUGCUUGUGAACAGCGCCGGGGACAGCAACCAGCUAUUUUAUCCGCAGAAUGAGGACAGAAUGGACAGCGGCAGGGGGGCAGACAUGCCUAAUGGUGAGGUAUGGGGAACCCUAGAGUGGUAAGGUUCCCGCAGCUUCCAGCAUUUUUACCACUGUCUUAAUCAAACUACAGGAUAUUUUAUGGAAUUAUUAUUAUUUUGUCUGUUGUAACAUGUAGCGGCCCCAAUCCAGGCUCCAGGCUCUGCUCUGAUAGGUGCUGUACUGCCAUGCAAUAACACUACUGCCUCUGCCCAGACGGCUUUCAGAGUCAGUAAAGCUUGCAAGCUGCAGGAUGCUCUGUCAGUCCGGUGCAGAACGUCUCACACCUUAAGCAAACCUUGGUGCCUCCCUGGCAUGGGCAUGGUUUUGAGUGUGCAAUCUCUUCUAGGCAGCUUUCCCGUGCUUCCUCCCUGUGAGUACAAAUGGUAGGUCUGAUGUGUGCAAAUCCAGUUCUUCACCCAAGAGAGGUUUGAAUGUGCCAGUUUCCUCACACUUGCCAUGUAUCAUGCACCACUGGAGGUCACACAUUGCAGCUUUUACCUUUGGUCUUCAGAAGACCAAACAAGUCUUGUCCCAGGGAGAAGAUGGUGGGAGCUGAAGUAUAAAGAAUGGGGCAGCCAGUCAGAACCUUCACCCAAACCUUGAAUCUGUCUAAAAAGCUCAGUGACUUUUUGUUGCUUCUCCCAUUUUCACAGACAUUUCCACUUCCUCACGCCAUCAAGGAGUGCAGAUCCCAAAAGAGCACAAGAAAGGAGAUUCUUGUGAUAUUUCUGUCACAAUGGAACCAAGAAACUCCCAAAUCUCACCAGGAAACCCAUGCUUCUGGGGCAUCCAACUCUGUCUUCAGACCAAAGAGCUCCUGGCAAAAGAAGAGGCUCUUCUCAACAAUAAUUCCAUAGACUUAUGGAUAAACUCGGCAGUUUCAGCGUCAUAACACUAAAUGAACAAGGCUCCGUGUUCUGGGAAAUUGCUUUUUGCCACCUAAAGUCUCCGUUAUGGCAGUUUCAUUUGGAUUUGCUCUUCUUGGCUUCCUGUUGUAUAGUGCUGCUGUGUCCAUCCCAGAGGUGGCUGCGUUUCAGUGGUGGAUGGAUCAAUUUCCAUCCAACCAUUAUUCUGAAAAGUUCUUCACUACCUUCCAGA